rnacentral:rRNA from 1 species
UUCCGUAAGGGUUACCUGCGGAGGGAUCAUUACCGAGUUUACAACUCCCAAACCCAAUGUGAACGUUACCAAACUGUUGCCUCGGCGGGAUCUCUGCCCCGGGUGCGUCGCAGCCCCGGACCAAGGCGCCCGCCGGAGGACCAACCAAAACUCUUUUUGUAUACCCCCUCGCGGGUUUUUUAUAAUCUGAGCCUUCUCGGCGCCUCUCGUAGGCGUUUCGAAAAUGAAUCAAAACUUUCAACAACGGAUCUCUUGGUUCUGGCAUCGAUGAAGAACGCAGCGAAAUGCGAUAAGUAAUGUGAAUUGCAGAAUUCAGUGAAUCAUCGAAUCUUUGAACGCACAUUGCGCCCGCCAGUAUUCUGGCGGGCAUGCCUGUCCGAGCGUCAUUUCAACCCUCGAACCCCUCCGGGGGGUCGGCGUUGGGGAUCGGCCCUGCCUCUUGGCGGUGGCCGUCUCCGAAAUACAGUGGCGGUCUCGCCGCAGCCUCUCCUGCGCAGUAGUUUGCACACUCGCAUCGGGAGCGCGGCGCGUCCACAGCCGUUAAACACCCAACUUCUGAAAUGUUGACCUCGGAUCAGGUAGGAAUACCCGCUGAACUUAAGCAUAUCAUAAGGCCGGAGGAA